AGGUCAUGUUGAGAAAAAUUACUUAACAACCCCUUGUAGCGUUCUCAUGCCUCGUAUAAUGACUCCCCCGAAUUUUACUCAAUGUUGGCAAUCGCCUUCUUGAUUUU